GUUCAAUAGUGCGUGUUCUUCUAAUGGCUGCCUUCCCACUGGAGGUUUUGAUCCACAGCAAUUUAAAAGGAGGACAAAGCAAAACGGACAUCGGCGCAGAGUGAAGAACUGCCCUUGAUAGGACACUAUGACAGCCAUAUAUAUGGCGGUAAGGAAGAGGUUUCCCAAUGUGUCCCGAGGGGCUUUGGGGAUUGCAGUGAAUUCGAAGCUGGGGGAACUGAGACUGCUGGAAAAGGAAAAAAAAAUACAUUUUAAGUAUGUUGAUUUAUGUUCAUACAA